rnacentral:rRNA from 1 species
GAUGAACGCUGGCGGCGUGCUUAACACAUGCAAGUCGAACGAAACACCUUAUUUGAUUUUCUUCGGAACUGAAGAUUUGGUGAUUGAGUGGCGGACGGGUGAGUAACGCGUGGGUAACCUGCCCUGUACAGGGGGAUAACAGUCAGAAAUGACUGCUAAUACCGCAUAAGACCACAGCACCGCAUGGUGCAGGGGUAAAAACUCCGGUGGUACAGGAUGGACCCGCGUCUGAUUAGCUGGUUGGUGAGGUAACGGCUCACCAAGGCGACGAUCAGUAGCCGGCUUGAGAGAGUGAACGGCCACAUUGGGACUGAGACACGGCCCAAACUCCUACGGGAGGCAGCAGUGGGGUAUAUUGCACAAUGGGGGAAACCCUGAUGCAGCGACGCCGCGUGAGUGAAGAAGUAUUUCGGUAUGUAAAGCUCUAUCAGCAGGGAAGAAAAUGACGGUACCUGACUAAGAAGCCCCGGCUAACUACGUG